GUGCGACAACUGUGCUACAUAUGGAGCC
rnacentral:piRNA from 1 species